rnacentral:rRNA from 1 species
CAGCCGCCGCGGGAAUACGUAGGUGGCAAGCGUUGUCCGGAAUUAUUGGGCGUAAAGGGCUCGCAGGCGGUUUCUUAAGUCUGAUGUGAAAGCCCCCGGCUCAACCGGGGAGGGUCAUUGGAAACUGGGAAACUUGAGUGCAAAAGAGGAGAGUGGAGUUCCACGUGUAGCGGUGAAAUGCGUAGAGAUGUGGAGGAACACCAGUGGCGAAGGCGACUCUCUGGUCUGUAACUGACGCUGAGGAGCGAAAGCGUGGGGAGCGAACAGGAUUAGAUACCCCGGUAGUCCCUGUCUCUUAUAC